rnacentral:tRNA from 1 species
AAAGAAAAGGGUCUAGACCCCACACACGCCACUCGGUAAGGAAUUGGGCCUAUAGCUCAGCUGGCUAGAGCACACGACUGAUAAUCGUGAGGUCAGUGGUUCGAGUCCACUUGGGCCCACCAAAUGGGGCUGUAGCUCAGUUGGGAGAGCACCUGCUUUGCAAGCAGGGGGUCACCGGUUCGAGACCGGUCAGCUCCACCACAGGGAUAGAAGGCCCGCAAAGAGCGCGGGCUGGUCGCUGGGGAAGCGGUAGAGAAGGGAUUUAGGGUUUAGUGUGUAGUGCUGAAUAACGCUUUAGGGAUGUAGGAAGUAAGGUGCUAUUGAUCACUGCCCACUCGGAAGAUUGAGUGCGUUAGUUUGUUCUUUGACAGUUGAGGAAGGGAAGGCCAUGUUUGUCAUCUUGCCGAUGGCAGACCUCCAGGUGGAUGCUUGGGGAUAUAU